UACGGAGGGUGCAAGCGUUGUCCGGAAUCACUGGGCGUAAAGGGCGCGUAGGCGGCUCAUGAAGGCUGUGGUGAAAGUCCGGGGCUCAACCUCGGAUCGGCCGUGGCGACUCGUGGGCUGGAGCACUGUAGAGGCGGGUGGAAUUCCGGGUGUAGCGGUGGAAUGCGUAGAGAUCCGGAAGAACACCAGUGGCGAAGGCGGCCCGCUGGGCAGUGGCUGACGCUGAAGCGCGACAGCGUGGGGAG
rnacentral:rRNA from 1 species